CUUGAAGAAUGAUCUGGAAAGCAUCAAAGCACUGCGGGAAACUUAAGGAUACACUAGCUUUUGUAAACAGUAAAUGCUGUGUGGUACCCAGCCACCAGUUUGCCCUCUGCUGAUGAUAAAGUUCUGGGAAGAUUAUCGUCAGGUUGUUAUGGGAGCUGACUUGGUUCAACACAAAUUGAGAUGCUCAGAAUGAAGACCUGUACUUCUAUGUCUAUGCCUAUGCCUACAGUUGCCUAUGCCUAUGCCUACAGUUGCCUAUGCCUAUGCCUACAGUCUAUGAAUGUAGGAACAGGUUAAAAUAUUGAUCCUUUUUAGCUCAAACUGAGCACAUCCAUAGCUUUUGUCAUAAGCCUUUUCUGAUUGGCAGUGUUGAUAUUGUACAGAGAAGUGUUAC
rnacentral:lncRNA from 1 species